rnacentral:rRNA from 1 species
GACGAACGCUGGCGGCGUGCUUAACACAUGCAAGUCGAACGGAAAGGCCUUUUCGGAGGUACUCGAGUGGCGAACGGGUGAGUAACACGUGGGUGAUCUGCCCUGCACUCUGGGAUAAGCCUGGGAAACUGGGUCUAAUACCGGAUAGGACCGCACUUUAGUGUGUGUGGUGGAAAGUUUUUUCGGUGUAGGAUGAGCCCGCGGCCUAUCAGCUUGUUGGUGGGGUAAUGGCCUACCAAGGCGGCGACGGGUAGCCGGACUGAGAGGUUGGUCGGCCACAUUGGGACUGAGAGACGGCCCAGACUCCUACGGGAGGCAGCAGUGGGGAAUAUUGCACAAUGGGCGCAAGCCGGAUGCAGCGACGCCGCGUGGGGGAUGACGGCCUUCGGGUUGUAAACUCCUUUCGCCAGGGACGAAGCGUUUUGUGACGGUACCUGGAGAAGAAGCACCGGCUAACUACGUG